rnacentral:rRNA from 1 species
AUUGAACGCUGGCUGCAGGCUUAACACAUGCAAGUCGAGCGGGGUGAUGGUGCUUGCACUAUCUCUUAGCGGCGGACGGGUGAGUAAUGCUUAGGGAUCUGCCUCUUAGCGUGGGACAACAUCGCGAAAGGGAUGCUAGUACCGAACACGUCUCAGGGGAGAACGCAGGGGACCACUUGUGAUGUUGCGCUAACAGAUGUGCCUUAGGCGGAGUAGCUAUUGGUGGGGGUAAAGGCCUACCAAGGCGACGAUCUGUAGCGGGUCUGAGAGUAUGAUCCGCCACGCUGGGACUGAGACACGGCCCAGACUCCUACGGGAGGCAGCAGUGGGGAAUAUUGGACAAUGGGGGGAACCCUGAUCCAGCCAUGCCGCGUGUGUGAAGAAGGCCUUAUGGUUGUAAAGCACUUUAAGCGAGGAGGAGGCUCUUUUGGUUAAUACCCAAGAUGAGUGGACGUUACUCGCAGAAUAAGCACCGGCUAACUCUGUGCCAGCCGCCGCGGUAA